AUGGCGGGUCUAUUUUGGAAUGCAAGAGGGCUGGGUGAACCUGAAAAGAGAAGAUUUCUGAGGGAAUCUAUCUCAGAGCAUAGUUUAGAGUUUAUAUGUGUGCAAGAAACAAAAAAGAAGGACUUUGAUGACUCUUGGUUGGCUGGAAUAAGUGGUAGAUUUACUUAUAUUUGGCUAUGGCAGCCCUCUGAAGGUGCUUCUGGAGGUCUGCUUAUGGGGGUUCGGGAAGAUCUAUUUGAGGUAGACGUUUGUAUUGCAGGUACAUACAUGACCAGAAUGGUUAUUAUGGAUAAAGAUCAGGAUUCAAGUGGAAUCUGA
rnacentral:rRNA from 1 species